rnacentral:lncRNA from 1 species
GUGAACUUCUCUCUUUUGUGAGCUUUCCAAAACUCUGCAAUAAAAUGCUUAGAGAGGACUCUAGGUAGCCCUUCAAAAGUUCUAAGCAAACUGGGAAUACCGUGCUCUGAGACGACUGCAUGCAGCAACAGGAAGAAGAGUUGUUAUUGUAGAAGAUGAGGAUGUAUAUUCCGGAGCUGAAGACUGACAAUUUCAAUAACUUUGCACACUAACCAAGUGAUCAUGAAGUCCAUACUAAGAAAGAAAAACAUUUUAUUUUUCUAAUUAUGGAAUAAGGGCUUCUGACUUGAUCCAAUAUUUCCACUGGUCUUAAAAAAAAAAAAAAAAAAAAAAAGUCAUAUUCUGUAUGUAUUCUGCAUAAAAUGUCUUCGACUAGUAGUAUGCAGGUAGCAC